CAGAGCUACCGAUAUCGGAGUCGUCCCCGGCAUCAACUCAAUACCAAACUAUACCUCUCAGAUUGGUGGAAAACCCAAUAAUUCUUCAGGAAACACAUCUGAAAACUCGCACACAACUGGUAUUGAUUCAAUCUUCUUUUCAGUCACUUUAGAAUUGAGCACAUAGGAAAAGUAAGCUUCACAACCCUUUUUCACAUAUUUCU
rnacentral:lncRNA from 1 species